rnacentral:rRNA from 1 species
AGACCCGAAACCCGGUGAUCUAGCCAUGGGCAGGUUGAAGGUUGGGUAACACUAACUGGAGGACCGAACCGACUAAUGUUGAAAAAUUAGCGGAUGACCUGUGGCUGGGGGUGAAAGGCCAAUCAAACCGGGAGAUAGCUGGUUCUCCCCGAAAGCUAUUUAGGUAGCGCCUCGUGAAUUCAUCUCCGGGGGUAGAGCACUGUUUCGGCUAGGGGGCCAUCCCGGCUUACCAACCCGAUGCAAACUGCGAAUACCGGAGAAUGUUAUCACGGGAGACACACGGCGGGUGCUAACGUCCGUCGUGAAGAGGGAAACAACCCAGACCGCCAGCUAAGGUCCCAAAGUCAUGGUUAAGUGGGAAACGAUGUGGGAAGGCCCAGACAGCCAGGAUGUUGGCUUAGAAGCAGCCAUCAUUUAAAGAAAGCGUAAUAGCUCACUGGUCGAGUCGGCCUGCGCGGAAGAUGUAACGGGGCUAAACCAUGCACCGAAGCUGCGGCAGCGAACGUAUCACCCAAGACAACUUUACGGAGUUGACGAUUGACGGAGCGAAGCGACGUCAAAGCGUUCAUUAAAGUCGAGUUGGCUUAGGGAUACGUUCGUUGGGUAGGGGAGCGUUCUGUAAGCCUGUGAAGGUGUGUCGUGAGGCAUGCUGGAGGUAUCAGAAGUGCGAAUGCUGACAUAAGUAACGAUAAAGCGGGUGAAAAGCCCGCUCGCCGGAAGACCAAGGGUUCCUGUCCAACGUUAAUCGGGGCAGGGUGAGUCGACCCCUAAGGCGAGGCCGAAAGGCGUAGUCGAUGGGAAACGGGUUAAUAUUCCCGUACUUGGUGUUACUGCGAAGGGGGGACGGAGAAGGCUAUGUUGGCCGGGCGACGGUUGUCCCGGUUUAAGCGUGUAGGUGUGUGUUCCAGGUAAAUCCGGUUCACUUUAACACUGAGGCGUGAUGACGAGGCACUACGGUGCUGAAGCAACAAAUGCCCUGCUUCCAGGAAAAGCCUCUAAGCAUCAGGUAACAUCAAAUCGUACCCCAAACCGACACAGGUGGUCAGGUAGAGAAUACCAAGGCGCUUGAGAGAACUCGGGUGAAGGAACUAGGCAAAAUGGUGCCGUAAC